ACGUCACAUCAGUCAGUCGAGUACCGAUCUCGAUAGCCUGCGAACAGUACGCACAGCGCACACGUGCCCUUGCGCCCGGACCUAACCGCCGCACUCCGCGCGACCACUGCACCUCUUGCCAGCACCGUUCCGACCAGUGCCUCACUCGCUUUCGACCUAUUAUGUAAUACGAAAAUAAACACCGCGCCUUUAACAGCAAGCACGUGUGCGCACAGGCUGCCGUACUUCGCUGACCGCCGUCCACAUCUUACCGCCAUCAUAUUAAACAUUAACAUCACUGCCAAAGCGUAAACUUACCACCUUUCAAUCAAUCUUUUGCCGUGUCAAAGUUAUUUGUUUCCAGUGUCGCGAUUUGCAGGUUAUACGUUAAAAUAUACUUCGGGUUGGAAGUGUUUUUCUGAAUUGUUAUACUUAAAUUCCUACACAAUUUAUAGUGAUUGUUUUAGUGGAUUGUUUUAUACAUAACCCAGUGCAAAAUGUCUAAUUCUCUGGAACAACAAUUUGGGGACCUUAACUUGUCACAGGAAGAUCAUGAUCAAAUUUUUGAACAAGAAGAUCAUCAAGAUCAAAGCCGGUCAAGGAUUCUCAUCAGUGGGCUAUCAAUGCACGCUCGCUUCGACACCAUCGAGCCACUACUAUCACAGUAUGGCAACGUGCAACAAUGCGACAAAAUCAACUCACGCGAUGCCAACACCCAAGCGGUGUACAUUACAUUCGAGACCCCGGAGCAGGCGCAGCAAGCCAUCAACGGUCUGAACGGAUGCGAAGUAGAGGGCGCGCGUAUAAAGGUAGAGGCGGCGGAUGGUAUGGCGAGGGGUGGACGGCGUGGUCGACCAGGCGGCGGUCGCGGCGGUGGCGGCGCUCUCGGAGGCGGCUCGCGUCCUACUGAUUUUCCUCUUCGCCUCCUUGUUCAGAGUGACAUGGUUGGAGCUAUCAUAGGCCGUCAGGGAAGCACUAUCCGCCUCAUCACUCAGCAGAGCCGUGCCCGCGUUGACGUUCACCGUAAAGAUAACGUUGGCUCCCUAGAGAAAGCUAUCACCAUAUAUGGCAAUCCAGAUAAUUGUACGAAUGCCUGCAAAAGGAUACUUGAAGUUAUGCAACAGGAAGCUAACAACACUAAUAAGGGUGAAAUAUGCCUUAAAAUAUUGGCUCAUAAUAACUUGAUUGGUCGCAUAAUCGGCAAGGGUGGCAACACAAUCAAGCGAAUAAUGCAGGAAACCGAUACAAAGAUUACUGUAUCAUCCAUAAAUGAUAUAAACAGUUUUAAUUUGGAGCGAAUCAUAACUGUGAAAGGUACUAUUGAGAACAUGGCUAAAGCAGAGUCACAAAUUUCGGCCAAACUGCGUCAAAGUUACGAAAACGAUCUGCAGGUACUGGCGCCGCAGAGUAUAAUGUUCCCUGGGUUACACCCAAUGGCAAUGAUGUCGACGGGGCGCGGAUUUUGUGGUGCGCCGCCUCCUUUCCCACCGCCUAUAUAUGCGCCGCUGGCCGGCCAGGGCGGCGCGCAACAAGGUGCUGGCGACUCGCAAGAAACGACCUAUCUUUAUAUUCCGAAUAAUGCUGUGGGUGCAAUAAUUGGCACAAAGGGAUCACAUAUACGCAACAUAAUUAGAUUCAGCAAUGCAUCUGUAAAGAUUGCUCCUCUUGAGCAAGAUAAGGUUAUUGAAGGUGUGCCAGGCGCUGGUGCAGUUGCAGCUCCAGGCAGUGUGGCUGCACAACAGGAGAGGAAAGUGACUAUCGUAGGAAGUCCUGAAGCACAGUGGAAGGCGCAGUAUUUGAUCUUCGAGAAGAUGCGUGAGGAGGGAUUCAUGUCUGGCUCUGAUGAUGUGCGACUGACUGUGGCAAUAGUGGUAGCAUCGUCGCAGGUGGGCCGCAUCAUCGGGAAGGGUGGGCAGAAUGUGCGUGAGCUACAGCGCGUCACCGGAUCGCUUAUUAAGCUUCCCGAGCAGCCGCAACCGCCGACCGCAGCUGGUAACGACCACGAGACUACUGUACACAUCGUCGGCCACUUCUACAGUGUUCAGCGAUCGCCCGAAGCGGGAUGAGUGCAUUAUGGCGAACAACGUACAACUCUCGCAGCCUCUGUGUGCACAGAGAAAAUAUGCCAACUAGACGCUCACCAUAGCGGCUCAUAUUAUCUUAACUAUUUGAUAGUCCGCGCAGCGACGCAUCCGCUCGAUGGUAGCGCAGGCGUCGGCUCCGGGUCGCCACCGACGCGCUGCCCCGCCACCGCCACCGCCCGCGCAGCAGUAGGCUGUCACCUCGUCACCACCACCCGCCGCCACAACUCUGCCACCACCGCAUCGUGUCACCUCGCCAACUGCCACCUGCCACCUGCCACUUCGCCGACCCUACCCCACCUCACCCCUGCUACGCCCCCCUGUCGUACGAAUGGUACAGUUAUAUACGGUUCGGUACAUUAUUGUCGCCGCGACCGGCCCAGACCCAAAACCUGCUGUGCAACUUUGACCGCUUCGAUUUGUUGGCAGCGUGUCUAUGUUGUUGUUGAAGUAUUAUAGUAACGUAGUGAAUUAUAAUAAUUAAAUACUAUUGACGAAUUUUAUCCCAGGAUUAAUGUUGAUGAAUAAUUAAUUGGAUAUAUAUAUAUAUAUUAUGUAUUUUAUAUAUUAUUCAUAUACACUAUUUUUUUUAACGAUAGUGACAGUUAUAUGAAUUAGCCGGAAUAUAUUUAAUUGUUAUUGUUUUCAAUUUUCAUACCAUGUUAUAUUUAUGAAGCAUUGUAAAGAGUUCACCUAAGGCAAUAGUUAACGAUUAUGUUCUCAUAUACACAUGUUAGUAGCAAUAGGUUAGAAAUACAGCACCAUUAUUAUACAAACGAGAUAAUACAUAUUUUGUUUUGUUAUGAAGUAAUAGAUUAAUCUGUUAAUACACAACAAUACGCUGUUAAUAUUAUUCAGUAGGGUGUGUGGGUUGCGAACACCGCUAAGAAUGGAAAAAAUACGACAUCGCUUUAUUGAUGAGGCUCAACAAAAAUGAAUGGAAAGCUUUGCAACUUCGAUGUAAGGAAAUAUACUAAAAACAAGACGGAAAGAUGUGUGUAAGCCGAUUAGCGCUCGGCUGACGUCGUCCGCGGGCUGCCGGCCCCCAGAUGACUGAACACUAACACGAGACUGACCGACCAUUCGACAGACUGACAGACUAGUCGACGUCGCCGGGCCGCCCGCGGCCGACGCACUACGCCGCGGCGCUCAAUUGCUAUUCACCAGCGAAUGAUAUAAAUAUUUUUGAUAGAUAAGUCAUCGUUGGUCAGUAAGGUCUUUAAUGGUACGAGUUUUAAUUUGUAAGUGACAUUUGUUGAUCGUUUUCUUUGUAAUUUGUCUUUGUUAGCUUUAUUACGGUUUUCCUGUAUCGAUGCGGCCGUGAGCGAUCUCCACGGUAGCGACCUGCGCUGGCAGAGCUGGCGCAUCGCGAAACGGCGGAGUCGUUCAGUUUCACGCCCCGAUACAGUUUUAUGCGUGUACGAUUUGCGUUAUAAUUGUGCCAAGUGAGAUAUUUAAAUAUGAUCUAUUAAGAAUAAGUGAAGAAAAUAUCAAAAUUAAUGAAGCUUAGAUAUUUAUAUUUAUAAUUGUGAUAAUAAUAUAUGGAAGUUUUGGCAAAACAGGAAUGUUUUACAUUCUUAUACCCUUAUUUCGACAAGACUAGGUAAAAUAUAGUAUGUCCGCUCCCGGGUGCAUAAGAUAAUUAUAUAGCCAUUGGCCCGACGCUGCUCCUUCGCCUACAUCAGAGAGCGAAAUAUUUGCUUGCCGACACUGUCUGGAUACUUCCACAUAUUAUUGAAAAUUAUCUCGCUCUUGGCAUUCAAUUCACCGAAUGUACCGUAACCGAAACUAUAUGUUAAUAACAAUGUAUGCUUUGUAACAUCUGAAACAAUUGAGAAAGAUUGAAUGGAGUAAAAGACAGCAGAUGCUAGAAAGAUGUGCUGGUUCUAAGCACAUGUUGUCCAUAAAUGUAAUAAAUGUAUUGGGUAAUAUUUAAAAGCACUUUAAAAUUGAUGUUUAAAUAAAAGAUUCUUGUAUCGAUAUUCCUACAAAAACAACUUAAAUCGCAAAAUACUGAAGCUUUAAAAUUUUCGUGAUGUUAUAUAUGAUGGAUAGUUUGCUCUAAAAUUACCGAUGUACUUACUAACAACCAACUUUAUACGUGUAUACUUUAUUAUGUAAACAUUUAAGGAUAAGAUAGAGAAAAGCAGUUUGUUUUUAGUACCACUGUUCGGUGUUCUAUACUUACCUUAUCUAUGAUAAGUAAUUAAAAGCCAUAAUCUAUGUGUAUAGGUUAAGAAUGAAUAAUUUAAAUGUUGAUCCUGAGAAAUGAGAAAGUUAGAGCGAGUGCCAACUAUCAAUUUCAAAGUAUUUAAGACAAUGUCCGAUUAUCUUUUUCAAAGUGCGAUUAUGUAUUUCCCCAUAUGUAUUAUUGUCUGAUUACUGUACUUUUAAGUAAAUGCAUGAAUGUACGUGUUCGCAUGUAUAAAUGUAUACAAUAAGAUACAAUAAAGUUGUGAAUGUA